rnacentral:rRNA from 1 species
AUUGAACGCUGGCGGCAUGCUUUACACAUGCAAGUCGAACGGCCGCGCGGGCUUCGGCCUGGCGGCGAGUGGCGAACGGGUGAGUAAUACAUCGGAACGUGCCCAGUCGUGGGGGAUAGCUCGGCGAAAGCCGGAUUAAUACCGCAUACGACCUGAGGGUGAAAGCGGGGGAUCUUCGGACCUCGCGCUAUUGGAGCGGCCGAUGGCAGAUUAGCUAGUUGGUGGGGUAAAGGCCUACCAAGGCGACGAUCUGUAGCUGGUCUGAGAGGACGACCAGCCACACUGGAACUGAGACACGGCCCAGACUCCUACGGGAGGCAGCAGUGGGGAAUUUUGGACAAUGGGCGAAAGCCUGAUCCAGCAAUGCCGCGUGUGUGAUGAAGGCCUUCGGGUUGUAAAGCACUUUUGGUGGGAACGAAAAGGACUGUGCCAAUACCACGGUUCGAUGACGGUACCCGCAGAAUAAGCACCGGCUAACUACGUG